AUAAUACUCCCUCCGUCCCAAAUUACUUGUCUUAGAUUUAUCUAGAUACGGAUGUAUCUAACACUAAAACAUGUCUAGAUACAUCCAUAUCUAGACAAAUUUAAGACAAGUAAUUUAGGACGGAGGGAGUAAUAC
rnacentral:pre_miRNA from 1 species